rnacentral:rRNA from 1 species
GCGGCGUAAAGCACGACUAAAAAUAAGUUAAAACAUUAGGAACGAAGCCAGACUGGGCUGUAAAAAGCUAUAAGCCACACUAACUAAACCUAAUAACAAACAACUUCUACUCGUGAAAGUUAGGACACAAACUAAGAUUAGAUACCCUACUAUGCCUAACCAUAACACAACAAUCAAACUACCAAUUGUUCGCCAAAUAACUACGAGUAAAAACUUAAAAUUUAAAAGACUUGACGGUGCCUCAAAACAACCUAGAGGAGCCUGUCUAAUAACCGAUACUCCACGAUUAACCCAACCCACCCUAGCCUAACAGUCUAUAUACCGCCGUCGCCAGCCUACCUUGUGAAAGAAACAAAGUGAGCUCAAUAGUCAUCACUAACACGACAGGUCGAGGUGUAACUCAUGGGGGGGACCAAGAUGGGCUACAUUUUCUAAACCAGAAAAUACGAAUUAACCUAUGAAAAAGAAACUGAAGGCGGAUUUAGCAGUAUGCCGAGAACAACUAACCCUGCAGAAACCAACGCAAUGAGGCGCGUACACACCGCCCGUCAUCCCUG